rnacentral:rRNA from 1 species
UACGUAGGGCGCAAGCGUUAUCCGGAAUUAUUGGGCGUAAAGAGCUCGUAGGCGGUUUGUCGCGUCUGCCGUGAAAGUCCGGGGUUCAACUCCGGAUCUGCGGUGGGUACGGGCAGACUAGAGUGUUGCAGGGGAGACUGGAAUUCCUGGUGUAGCGGUGAAAUGCGCAGAUAUCAGGAGGAACACCGGUGGCGAAGGCGGGUCUCUGGGCAACAACUGACGCUGAGGAGCGAAAGCGUGGGGAGCGAACAGG